UCCCUGGUGGUCCAAUGGCUAAGACUCUGCACUCCCAAUGCAGAGGGCCUAAGUUCAAUUCCUAGUCAGGGAA
rnacentral:tRNA from 1 species